GAUGAACGCUGGCGGCGUGCCUAAUACAUGCAAGUCGAGCGAACAGAUGAGGAGCUUGCUCCUCUGACGUUAGCGGCGGACGGGUGAGUAACACGUGGAUAACCUACCUAUAAGACUGGGAUAACUUCGGGAAACCGGAGCUAAUACCGGAUAAUAUAUUGAACCGCAUGGUUCAAUAGUGAAAGACGGUUUUGCUGUCACUUAUAGAUGGAUCCGCGCCGCAUUAGCUAGUUGGUAAGGUAACGGCUUACCAAGGCAACGAUGCGUAGCCGACCUGAGAGGGUGAUCGGCCCAACUGGAACUGAGACACGGUCCAGACUCCUACGGGAGGCAGCAGUAGGGAAUCUUCCGCAAUGGGCGAAAGCCUGACGGAGCAACGCCGCGUGAGUGAUGAAGGUCUUCGGAUCGUAAAACUCUGUUAUUAGGGAAGAACAAAUGUGUAAGUAACUAUGCACGUCUUGACGGUACCUAAUCAGAAAGCCACGGCUAACUACGUG
rnacentral:rRNA from 1 species